rnacentral:rRNA from 1 species
UAAGGAAUAUUGGUCAAUGGACGCAAGUCUGAACCAGCCAUGCCGCGUGGAGGAUGAAGGCCCUCUGGGUUGUAAACUUCUUUUAUGGGGGACGAAAUCACUUAUUCUUAAGUGUCUGACGGUACCCCAGGAAUAAGCACCGGCUAACUCCGUGCCAGCAGCCGCGGUAAUACGGAGGGUGCAAGCGUUAUCCGGAUUCACUGGGUUUAAAGGGUGCGUAGGAGGGUGAGUAAGUCAGUGGUGAAAUCUUCGAGCUUAACUCGGAAACUGCCGUUGAUACUACUUGUCUUGAAUAUCGUGGAGGUGAGCGGAAUAUGUCAUGUAGCGGUGAAAUGCUUAGAUAUGACAUAGAACACCAAUUGCGAAGGCAGCUCGCUACACGAAUAUUGACUCUGAGGCACGAAAGCGUGGGGAUCAAA